AUUGAACGCUGGCGGUAUGCUUAACACAUGCAAGUCGAACGGCAGCAUAGAGAGCUUGCUCUCUGAUGGCGAGUGGCGGACGGGUGAGUAAUACGUAGGAAUCUAUCCAUGUAGCUGGGGAUAACUUGGGGAAACCCAAGCUAAUACCGAAUACGCUCUACGGAGGAAAGAGGGGGACUCUUCGGAACCUCUCACUAUUGGGUGAGCCUACGCCGGAUUAGCUUGUUGGUGGGGUAAUGGCCUACCAAGGCAACGAUCCGUAGCUGGUCUGAGAGGACGAUCAGCCACACUGGGACUGAGACACGGCCCAGACUCCUACGGGAGGCAGCAGUGGGGAAUAUUGGACAAUGGGGGCAACCCUGAUCCAGCAAUACCGCGUGUGUGAAGAAGGCCUGCGGGUUGUAAAGCACUUUCAGUAGGGAAGAAAAGCUGUUGAUUAAUACUCGACGGUCUUGACGUUACCUACAGAAGAAGCACCGGCUAACUCCG
rnacentral:rRNA from 1 species